UCCUAAUUUUUCCUUUUCCCCAGCCUGAGAACGCAGCCCCCACCCCACCUUUCUUCCAAAACACCAACACCCAAACAAAAGAAAGAAACAAAGAAAUGGAAAGGGAGAACAGAGAGCUUGGAAUCAGAGAAGAGGGAGCCGCACUCUGCGUCGUCCAGCUCGCCGUCGCAGCACCUCGCUUGCGCCGUUAUUCAUGCCCAUCGCCGUGCAGCCGUUGCUAACUUGCCUUGCCAUCACCACCGCUGAAGCAAGGUCACAUCGCCGUCAGAUUUGAAGCCGUUGAGGAGCUGAACGCUCGCGAGUGAGAGGACAAACACGAGGAGAGCUUGUGCGCGAAGGGUAGUGCCGCUGUGUCUCUGUCGCACCUUCAUCACUGUCGAAGCUGCACUUUCACGUCACCAUCGUUGUACCUCCACCGAACCCAUCACACCGCUGCUGUUGCGAUGUCAUUACUGUCGCGAGGGAGAAGAGAUGCGUGAGGAAGGAAGCUCGUAGGGGAGAAAGAAGUGGCUGCCUGUGCCACCCGCUUUGUCGCGUCUGAUCUCUGUUAUCACCGCGUCGCUGCCACCGAAGGUCCGCCGCCAUUGUUUCCAUCACCUCCAUGCUUCAUAUUCAUCCUGCCAAUCAUUACUGUCUUUGUUCGGUAUUGCUGUCCUUAUCCGGAACCACCGAUGUCAUUGUCGUUGCUUCCCCAGAAGAACUGAGGUUACUGCUACUGUUCCAGCCGUACUAGCUAUUGUAAACUGGAAAAAGAAGGGGAUCGCCACAUUUAAAUUCGACGGUUUCGACUAACUGAGGUAAGGGGUUUAAAACGAUUUCAAUUUAAGAAUGCCUACAAUGUUUAUUGAAUAACUGCAAAUAGAUUUAAUAGCUGUGAGUAAUCGAUUGAUUAUGUAAUUAUUGAAUUGUGGUUGAAAUUGUGAUUGGAAUGGUUGAGGUUGUGAUUUGGAA